AGCAGUGUCAGAGUAUUGGACACUCUCUGCUAUUUCAGGAGUAAGGGAAUUUGUGAGCCAUGAAAUGACCAUAUUGUUGCACCUAUCCCACUGUCUAAACUGUGGGGAGUCUUCAGAAGGUUUAGGCACAGAACCAUCUAUAAAACCUAUUUUGUUUCUAGCGGACAAAGAGACUAUCACAUUUCUUCUCCAACCCCCAAAACCAAUCCCUGAGAAAGGAUUGGUAACCAAGGAAAUACCAGGAACAUCAAACGACAUGAGAAAUAGAGGAUUCGAGGGACUAGGGACAAAACUAGUAGGAACGAAAGAAGAAUCAUCAACUACAUCAUCAUUAUCGUUGUAUAUCUGUUAACAUUGUAACUCGACGGAUUGAGAGAAAACUUGAAGAAGAAGAUGAACAGUGUCGAUGAGAGAGAAGAGAGAAAUUGAAGACUGAAAAGAAUGAANNNNNNNNNNNNNNNNNNNNNNNNNNNNNAGAAUGAAUUAAUUGAUCUGUCUAGAACCAUCUGUCCACAUCCGUGUAUAUACAAAUAAUCUAAUACAAAUUUAGUGUGUGUGUGAUAUUACAUAUGUGCCCUUUCCUUCUAUACAAAAUUGUAUAACCAAUAAAUAUCUCAACUACCCUUAUGAAUUGUUACUUGGGCUGCUGAAGACAUGGCCCAACUGAAAUUGCAUUGGGCUGAUUCUGGCUGAUUCUGCAUA
rnacentral:lncRNA from 1 species